CGGCGAGUUGGCGUUAGCGGCCUGGUUAAGGUCUUACGGACCGUAGCCUAAGGGAAACCGAGCCUAAAUAGGGCGUUUUGUCGCUGAUGUCAGACGCGAAACUGCGUGAUCUACCCAUGGGCAGGCUGAAGCGCGGGUUAUACUGCGUGGAGGGCCGAACUCGUCUGGGUUGAAAACCGGUGGGAUGACCUGUGGGGAGGAGUGAAAGUCUAAUCAAACGCAGAGAUAGCUCGUUCUCCUCGAAAUAGCUUGUGGGCUAGCCUUGGGCCACUACGUGUUGGGGGUAGAGAGACUGAAUUGGCAUUGGGGAUAUUCCAAUCUACCAAGCCUGACCAAACUCCGAAUACCGACACGACUAUCCCGGGAGUCAGUCUGCGAGGGAUAAGCUUCGCGGACGAGAGGGAAACAACCCAGAUCAUCAGCUAAGGUCCCAAAGUAGUACUCAGUCACAAAGGAAGUGAAGUUGCGGUGACAGCCAGGAUGUUGGCUUAGAAGCAGCCACCAUUUAAAAAGUGCGUAACAGCUUACUGGUCGAGCAAUUUUGCGCCGAUAAUGAACGGGAGUAAGUACUACACCGAAGCUAUGGAUUUAUGGUAGAGGAGCGCCGCACAGUAGUUACAUGUCAUACCGUAAGGAGUGACCUCGGACUGUGCGGGUGAUUAUGCCGGAAUGAGUAACGAUAAAACAGGUGAGAAUCCUGUUCGCCGAAAGCCUAAGGUUUCCUGGGGAAGGGAAAUCCGCCCAGGGUUAGCCGGUACCUUAGUCGAGGCCGAAAGGCGUAGACGAUGGAUAGCAGGUCAACAUUCCUGCGCUGUUAGCGGACCGAUUGGAGGGACGACGUCCAGAAAGCUUGCGGACAGAUAGAAACGUCCGUGGACUAUCUUGAGAUGGGGGAAAGGUAAAUCCGCCCCGUAAUUCAAGAGGUAGGACCAAGAGCCUAGCUCGAUGUGGUUGGAAGGACGUCCAAGAAAAUCUCCUAGGGUUGAAAACUGACAACCGUACUAAAACUGACACAGGUAGGCGAGACGAGUAGUCUCAGGCGCUCGGGAGAACGGUGGUUAAGGAACUCUGCAAAUUGAUCCCGUAAGUUCGCGAUAAGGGAAGCCUGUUUACAGGCCGCAGAAAAUCGGCUCUAGCAACUGUUUAUCAAAAACACAGGUCUCUGCUAACUCGUAAGAGGAUGUAUAGAGACUGACGCCUGCCCGGUGCCAGUAGGUUAAGGAAGAGGGUUAGUCGCAAGACGAAGCUCGCAACCGAAGCCCUGGUAAACGGCGGCCGUAACUAUGACGGUCCUAAGGUAGCGAAGUUCCUUGUCGGGUAAGUUCCGACGUGCAUGAAAGGCGUAAUGAGAGGAAGACUGUCUCAACCAGUAACCCGGUGAAAUUGUAGUCGUGGUGAAGAUGCCACGUUCCCGUAGUUAGACGGAAAGACCCCAUGAACCUUUACUAUAGCUUUGCGCUGGCACUUGUGUCGGCAUGUGCAGGAUAGGUGGUAGGCUUUGAAGCCGGGACGCCAGUCUCGGUGGAGCCGCAAGAUGAGAUACCACCCUUAUCGUCAUAGGUGUCUAACCGCGAUGUAACAGCAUCCGGGACAGCGCA
rnacentral:rRNA from 1 species